rnacentral:rRNA from 1 species
AGAGUUUGAUCAUGGCUCAGAGUGAACGCUGGCGGCAGGCCUAACACAUGCAAGUCGAGCGGCAGCGCGGGGCAACCUGGCGGCGAGCGGCGGACGGGUGAGGAAUGCAUCGGAAUCUACCCUGUCGUGGGGGAUAACGUAGGGAAACUUACGCUAAUACCGCAUACGACCGAGAGGUGAAAGUGGGGGACCUUCGGGCCUCACGCGAUUGGAUGGGCCGAUGCCGGAUUAGCUAGUUGGUAGGGUAAAGGCCUACCAAGGCGACGAUCCGUAGCUGGUCUGAGAGGAUGAUCAGCCACAUUGGGACUGAGACACGGCCCAAACUCCUACGGGAGGCAGCAGUGGGGAAUAUUGGACAAUGGGCGCAAGCCUGAUCCAGCCAUGCCGCGUGUGUGAAGAAGGCCUUCGGGUUGUAAAGCACUUUUGUCCGGAACGAAACGGCUACGACUAAUACUCGUGGCUACUGACGGUACCGGAAGAAUAAGCACCGGCUAACUACGUGCCAGCCGCCGCGGUAAUAC